ACCCCGGGCAGAGGGAGAAAGACAGGGGAAAAACUAGGUCUUUGGGGAUUUGGCAUAGCUUUGUGCAAAGUGCUCAAGGUUUGACCAAAGAGCAAAGGUGAGUGCUGAACUCGAACCUCAUUCUGGAAAGCAAAGGCCUAACACAGCUGUCUACAUCUGGACCAUGAGAAGGGCUUGAGAAGGCACUGGGACCAGGAAAGCAACUGGAUAGAGAACCGGAGAACUCAAGGGGAGUGGCUGGGAGCAUUUCUUUGCUCUUGCAAAGAAAUUAUUUCUCACACUGAGAUCUUACUCCAGGGCUGAUGUCUGAAGUCUGCAACAGCUGGAAUGAAGAUGAAAUAAGGACAUUCUCAGAAGAAAAAAAAUAGAGUGAAGAGAGUUUAGCCCUUGUAAAUGUUAAAGGGGAUUUUCAGAAGACAAAUACUUCCAGAAGGAAGCCCAGAACAUCAAGGAUGAAGGAAGAACAGAGAAACGACAUAUGGUGAUCACACCAUGAAUGAAAAUCUGGACUUGGACUUCACCUCAAUAAGAUGUUUCAUUGAGACAUGCUGCUAAAACAAAACAAAACAGCAACAAACCAAACGAACCACCCAACUAACCAACCAACCAAAACAAAACCCUGCGACCUUCAUCUGAGAAAACUCUAGCAGAUACACAGGCUGAGCUCCCACUGCCCUUUGGGGUUCUAGAGGGAUGAGACAUAGAGCCCCAUUGGAGCUUGAGAUGUUUCUUUCUGGAUGCGCCAUUUCUAAAGACAAUUCGUCAGUCCUCCCAAGAAAGGUGGCUUAUCCUCCUUUGUGUUGCCAUUCCGAAAUAACAGAGGCUGAGUAUGUCAUAAAAGGGGAAGGGGACGGUGCUUAUUUUAGUUCAAGGCUCUGUCUAAUGUCAGUGAACUCAUCUAAUCAGCUACUGGUAGGACACCAGAAGAAAAGAGAAGUGGUCACGUGGUAAGCGCGGAUGAAGAGGGGAAGCUAAGGAUGCUGAACUUACAUUGGACAAUUGGCUCUUCCCAUGACUAAUCCUGUACUGUGAGUCCUAAUCCAGGCUGGAAAGAACUAACCCAGUCUCUCAAGGAGAAUAUUGAUCCAUUCAUGAUGUAGGAUCUCCAUGGCCCCAGAAGGUCUUCGGGGUCCCGCCUCCUCAGUCUAACACUAGGAAGUUGUCUCAAAGUGAAUUAGGGUGAUGAUGGCACCCAGCAGCAGCUCCGAUGACAGCGACAGGGAGCAGUCAGAGCAGCAAGAGUAGCUCAUUGUCAUGACAUGUUUAUUUUUUAUUCUACAAAUAACACCUGAAUAUUUUCUCUUUGUAGAAUAUUUGAGUGACAUAUACUAUUUUAUAAUAACAAUUGGGUCUCCCUUCCUUCCCUCUCUGUCUCUUGAAUUGUUGCGGAAUAAUCUUUUUGUACACCGUGAAGACGUGUCACUCUGAUUGGUUUAAUAAAAAGCUGAACAGUCAAUAGCUAGGCAGGCUUUUGGGGACACAGAAGACGCUGGGAAGAAAAAGGAUGGAGAUGCUAGGAGAUGCAGAGCAGGCAGGAUUGGGCACUAUGGAGAUGAGGUAGUAAAGCCACGAGGCAGAAAAUAAAUUAAUAGAAAUGUGUUAAUUUAAGUUAUAAGAGCUAGUUAGAAAUAAGCCUAAGCUAUUGGCCAAGAUUUCAUAAUUAAUAAGUUUCCAGGUCAUUAUUGGGGAGCCGAUGGUCCCAAUCAAAAAGGCUGACUACAUUAUUUCACACUUUCUUUCCUAGAAGUAAUUAUUUCAAUGUGCCAUAUAUUCAGCUUUCCCCAUUUCUAAUGAAUCAGAGAAAUUAGAUAAAAGCAAUGCAUAAAGGAUCAUUUUCCCCUUACAUUUUCAUUAUAAAAAAGAAUGAAAUUGGUUAGGAUUGGGGAGAAUGAAGUUAAUGAUAUUUGAUAAUAUCCAGUUAGGACUUGGAAAGCUCACCAAGUAUUUCAAAGGGAAAUUUUAGGAGAUAUAAUUGUUAUCUAAUAAGAAUGAUGAGGGGAUGCAGAAAGAGCAGGUAGGGAGAGGGGCUAGGGAGAUUUUCUCACAGUCAGCCCAAGACUGAAAUGUAGACAGUGGACUUACCAUUGAGCACUAAACUCUGGAUGAGAAAGACACUUUCCAGAAAGCAGAUCAUGUCAAUCCAUAGAUGGAAUGAAAAGACAGAGCUUGAUGCUUUGACCUAAACUCUGCACAGACAUACGUGAAGGCAAAACACCCAUACACACAAAUAAAAAUAAACCUUCUUUAAAAAAAAGAAAAGAAAAAAACCAAGACCUGAUUAAGGAAAAUAGUGGUUUACAUACAAGGUAUAUGUAUACUUAUUGUUUGUCAAAAUUGUGUACUUAUCUAUUUAUUUUUAAAUAGUUAUUUUAUUUUCUGUGUAUGUAUGUGCCUCAGUGUGUGUCUGUACACCACCACAUACAUGCGUUGGAUCCCCUGGAACUAGAGUUACAGAUGGCUGUGAGCUGCCAUGUGGGUUCUGGGAAUCAAACCUGAGUCUUCUGCAAGAGCAGUUAGUGUUCUUAAUUACUUAAUCACUCCAGCUUCACAGUUGAUUUUACUAGAUGGAAAUGUGUUAAUAUGAAACAAUUAUAUUAUGACCCAUUAAGGCAUGUUUCUAUGUCUAUGUCUGCGUAAAGUUUGAUGCUUUACUGGCUCAUACGUACAUGACCUUGGCUUCCUAGGGCUGCCGCAAUAUCUUUCUCUAGAGCUGCCACAACAACAGAAAUUACUUGUCCUGCAUCCCUGGACACCAGGAGUUGACCCAAGCCAUGCUUCCUCUGAAGGCUUGAGAGGCGAGUCUGCCCUUGCCUCUUCCAGUUUUCGAAGGCUCCAGACAUUCUUUGGCUUGUGGCAAAAUCACAGCCACGUCAGCUUCUGUCUUCGUGUGCCCUUAUCCUCCACCUACUGUCCCCCACCCACUUAUAAGAAUCUUUGUCAUUGAGUUUAGGACUUGACAGAUAAUCCAGAAUUAUGUCAUUUUGAGAUCUUUAGCAGGAUGAUUUUUGCUUUUACACAAGUCUUUUGUUCCCAAAUAAAGUUAUAACUACUUGUUCCAAGUGGA